AUUGAACGCUGGCGGCAUGCCUUACACAUGCAAGUCGAACGGCAGCACGGGAGCAAUCCUGGUGGCGAGUGGCGAACGGGUGAGUAAUAUAUCGGAACGUGCCCAGUCGUGGGGGAUAACGUAGCGAAAGCUACGCUAAUACCGCAUACGAUCUACGGAUGAAAGCGGGGGACUCGCAAGGGCCUCGCGCGAUUGGAGCGGCCGAUAUCAGAUUAGGUUGUUGGUGAGGUAAAAGCUCACCAAGCCUGCGAUCUGUAGCUGGUCUGAGAGGACGACCAGCCACACUGGAACUGAGACACGGUCCAGACUCCUACGGGAGGCAGCAGUGGGGAAUUUUGGACAAUGGACGCAAGUCUGAUCCAGCAAUGCCGCGUGCAGGACGAAGGCCUUCGGGUUGUAAACUGCUUUUGUACGGAACGAAACGGUCUGCUUUAAUACAGUGGGCUAAUGACGGUACCGUAAGAAUAAGCACCGGCUAACUACGUGCCAGCAGCCGCGGUAAUACGUAGGGUGCGAGCGUUAAUCGGAAUUACUUGGGCGUAAGCGUGCGCAGGCGGUAUAUAGUCAGAUGUGAAAUCCCCGGGCUCAACCUGGGACCUGCAUUUGAGACUGUAUAGCUAGAGUACGGUAGAGGGGGAUGAAUUCCCGUGUAGCAGUGAAAUGCGUAGAUU
rnacentral:rRNA from 1 species